GUGGUAGCUCAGUGGUUAUUGUGUUGGACUUCUGAUCGGAAGGUUGUGAAUUCAAAUCCCAGCACCACA